rfam:Nosema ceranae BRL01 Nc000223, whole genome shotgun sequence.
GGCUCUUUAGUUUAGUGGCAGAAUAGCUCAUUCGUAAUGAGUUGGCGCGAGUUCGAUUCUCGCAGGAGCCU